UACGUAGGCACCAAGCGUUGUCCGGAUUUAUUGGGCGUAAAGAGCUCGUAGGCGGUUCGGUAAGUCGGGUGUGAAAACUCUGGGCUCAACCCAGAGACGCCACCUGAUACUGCCGUGGCUAGAGUCCGGUAGAGGAGCGUAGAAUUCCUGGUGUAGCGGUGAAAUGCGCAGAUAUCAGGAGGAAUACCAGCGGCGAAGGCGGCGCUCUGGGCCGGUACUGACGCUGAGGAGCGAAAGCGUGGGGAGCAAACAGG
rnacentral:rRNA from 1 species